rnacentral:SRP_RNA from 12 species
CGUGCAGGUCGGGGAACCAAGAAUGGCACCUGUACUCCCAACCCUCGUUUGCAGCGCAGAAACCCUCUGCCCAAGUCUUGAUCAAGUGGUCGGGCUUGGAGCUGGUGAAGGCAAACUGGUGGAUGAUCUUGGGGAUGGGACCCUCCUGUCCGCCUUGGGCCAUGCCGGGAGCA